GUGAGGUUAAGAUAUUGAAACGUGUUUUUUAUGAAUGUUGGGAAGAUGCAGUUCCCAUCCUCCAGGACUGAGGUCGACACAAGUCGGUUUGCGUAGUCCCUGGUCAUGAAGGGGUUAAAGCAGACAUGGUAUUGUGUGGGGGUUUUCGAUCCAUGGAAAGCUGACAUUUUGACACAGAAUAUCAGACCUUAUAUUUAAAUCUAUGAAGAUGUGACAAUUACAG